GCAGCCCUGGCCCUGCCCUCCCACACCACCCCUCUUGGCCCCAGCCCCUACCCCAGCCUCUCUUCCACUUCUCUCCUGGCCCUGGCCUGAGCAAGCUCCUCCCCGCCCACUCCCCCCAGCAACCCCACCCCUGGGCCCCCACCUGCCUUGGAGAUCUCCCAGCCAAGCAGGUGCUAGGUCCUGGGAAUACAGACUACUUCCUGCUUCCGGGUCCACAUCACCUGAGGCCUUGGCAACCAGCCCCGCCCCCCACCAGUCCCCCAGGGCCCAUGGGGGCACCGACUGAGCUCAGACCAGACAGCCAACCUGGAACACAGCAGACACUCAGCCGCUGCUGCCUUCAUGAAUGAAGAAAAGACAGAA